rnacentral:rRNA from 1 species
GUAAAAGUAGGGGCAGCACCCGCGGUAAGACGUAUGUCCCAAGCGUUAUCCGGAUGUAAUGGGCGUAAAGCGAGCGCAGGCGGUUAUUUAAGUCUGAUGUGAAAGCCUACGGCUCAACCGUAGAAUUGCAUCGGAAACUGGAUGACUUGAGUGCAGUAGAGGAGAGUGGAACUCCAUGUGUAGCGGUGAAAUGCGUAGAUAUAUGGAAGAACACCAGAGGCGAAGGCGGCUCUCUGGACUGUAACUGACGCUGAGGCUCGAAAGUGUGGGUAGCAAACAGGAUUAGAUACCCUGGUAGUC